CUGACUGCGCAUGCUACCAUGCAAGUCACGAGAAAGGGGUAGCAAUAUCCCGAGUACAGUGGCGCACGGGUGAGUAACACGUAGGCAAUCUGCCUUCAGGACGGGGAUAAUUUCGCGAAAGCGGGACUAAUACCCGAUUAUGCAGCGGCACCGCAUGGUGACAGUUGUUAAAAGCCGCAAGGCGCCUGGAGAUGAGCCUGCGUCCCAUUAGGUAGUUGGCGGGGUAACGGCCCACCAAGCCUGCGAUGGGUAGCUGGUCUGAGAGGAUGGCCAGCCACACUGGAACUGAGACACGGUCCAGACUCCUACGGGAGGCAGCAGUGAGGAAUAUUGCGCAAUGGCCGAAAGGCUGACGCAGCGACGCCGCGUGAGGGAUGAAGUCCGUUAGGAUGUAAACCUCUUUUGCAGGGGAUGAAGCUGCCGCUACAGGCGGCAGUCGACCGUACCCUGCGAAUAAGGGUCGGCUAACUACGUGCCAGCAGCCGCGGUAAUACGUAGGACCCGAGCGUUGUCCGGAUUUACUGGGUGUAAAGGGCGUGUAGGUGGGCGCUUAAGUCGAUGGUGAAAUCCUGCGGCUCAACCGUAGAAUUGCCGUCGAUACUGGGCGUCUUGAGUACGGCAGAGGGAGAUGGAAUUCAUGGUGUAGCGGUGAAAUGUGUAGAUAUCAUGAAGAACACCGGUAGCGAAGGCGGUCUCCUGGUCCGUUACUGACACUGAGGCGCGAAAGCGUGGGGAGCAAACAGGAUUAGAUACCCUGGUAGUCCACGCCUUAAACGAUGGGUACUAGGUGCUGGGCCGCAAGGUUCAGUGCCAAAGCUAACGCAUUAAGUACCCCACCUGGGGAGUACGAUCGCAAGGUUGAAACUCAAAGGAAUUGACGGGGGCCCGCACAAGCAGUGGAGCAUGUGGUUCAAUUCGAUGCAACGCGAAGAACCUUACCCGGGUUUGAAAGGCCAGUGACAACCGAUGAAAGUCGGUCUUGUAGCAAUACACACUGGUACAGGUGCUGCAUGGCUGUCGUCAGCUCGUGCCGUGAGGUGUUGGGUUAGUCCCGCAACGAGCGCAACCCCUGCCACUUAGUUGCAUCAGUCAGCUGGGCACCUCUAAGUGGACUGCCUACGCAAGUAGAGAGGAAGGCGGGAUGAACGUCAAGUUCUUCAAUGGCCUUACACCCAG
rnacentral:rRNA from 1 species